UACGUAGGGACCGAGCGUUGUCCGGAUUCAUUGGGCGUAAAGAGCUCGUAGGCGGCUGCUCAAGUCGAAUGUGAAAACUCGAGGCUCAACCUCGAGCCUGCAUUCGAUACUGGGCGGCUAGAGUCUGGUAGGGGGAUCUGGAAUUCCUGGUGUAGCGGUGGAAUGCGCAGAUAUCAGGAGGAACACCGAUGGCGAAGGCAGGUCUCUGGGCCACUACUGACGCUGAGAAGCGAAAGCAUGGGGAGCGAACAGG
rnacentral:rRNA from 1 species